rnacentral:tRNA from 1 species
UAGCUCAGUCAGUUGAGCGUGGCGCUAACAACGCUAAGGUUGCGGGUUCGAUUCCCGU